CAGUAGCCACGGGAAUACAGAGGAUGCAAGCGUUAUCCGGAUUCAUUGGGCGUAAAGCGCUCGUAGGCGGUCUGUUAGGUCGGGAGUUAAAUCCGGGGGCUCAACCCCCACUCGCUCUCGAUACCGGCAGACUUGAGUUUGGUAGGGGAAGGUGGAAUUCCUAGUGUAGCGGUGGAAUGCGCAGAUAUUAGGAAGAACACCAGUGGCGAAGGCGGCCUUCUGGGCCAUAACUGACGCUGAGGAGCGAAAGCUAGGGGAGCAAACAGGAUUAGAUACCCGUGUAGUCCCUGUCUCUUAUACC
rnacentral:rRNA from 1 species